GGAGAAAUGGCUCAGAGGUUAAGAGCACUGACUGCUCUUCCAGAGGUCCUGAGUUCAAUUCCCAGCAACCACA
rnacentral:tRNA from 1 species